rnacentral:rRNA from 1 species
UAAUCAUUUUGGAUAAUACAUGCGCAAAUAUCCUGUUUCGCAAGAAAGAGGAUAGUGUUUAUUAGAUACAGAACCAAUACACCAUCUGUUAACAGCAGGUGGUGUAAAAAAGGUGAUUCAUAGUACCCGACCGGAUCCCUUUUUGUUCUUUUUAUAGAUUGGCGAUAGAUCAUUCAAGUUUCUGACCUAUCAGCUUCGACGGUAGUGUAUG